GUGCCAGCCGCCGCGGUAAUACCGGCAGCCCGAGUGAUGGCCGAUCUUAUUGGGCCUAAAGCGUCCGUAGCUGGCUGCGCAAGUCCGUCGGGAAAUCCACCUGCCCAACAGGUGGGCGUCCGGCGGAAACUGCACAGCUUGGGACCGGAAGGCUCGAAGGGUACGUUCGGGGUAGGAGUGAAAUCCCGUAAUCCCGGACGGACUACCGAUGGCGAAAGCACUCUGAGAAGACGGCUUCGACAGUGAGGGACGAAAGCUCGGGUCUCAAACCGGAUUAGAUACCCUUGUAGUC
rnacentral:rRNA from 1 species